ACAGGUCAGCACAAGCCCAAGUGACAUUAAGUACUUCUUAGUACUCUUCCUUACUUACCAUCGAUAUUCCAUCGAAAUGUAUCGAUAUAUACAACAUGACAUGCUGCGCAAGUUGACGUGGCUGGUCGGGAGACGACAGCAUUAUGCCGGGCCAUAUGGUUGACGUCAAGCGUUCAUGUCUUCCUUAUUUUCCUGCGGGCCGUGAGAAACCCUUCCCAAAGACGAAGAAAGGGUGGUCAACCUGGCAACCUGAAUGGUCGACAUCAUCUAUGACGGCACCAUCUCCUGCAGUUCAGGAACAUGACUUUUCCAAGCUUCUUCAGCGCGGACCC